GUUAACAAGAGCUCAGAAACGGUUUUCCCUCGACCAGAUACCCGUGCAGUUUCAAUGUUGUUUUUACAAUAAAACUAUUUGACUCUACCCGUGUGGUCUCGCUACAACCUAUUCCUUCUCUCCAACACAUGCUGCCUGUCCCGCUACAUUGGUCACCCCGUCGGCCCUAACGUUUACGGACCCGCUGUUAUGGACGCAGCCGAUGACCUCGACGCCAACCCGGCCCAGCAAAACGUCAAGGCCUCAAGCAUGGAUCCUGCAAAUCCAGGCCCAGUUUCAGGUCGGACACAGUUACAUUGCCGCCGGUUUAACCAGGUAUUUCUACAUGGAUCAAGGAACCUCUCCUUACCUCUAACAAGCGCCGGCCGAAGACAAGUACGAGGGCCUCCAGGAUCCUGCACAUGGACGGCCUCGGUGUGAACUGAUGAACGAAAUGUUGUCGCUGAUGGACGGUGACCGGCCUCGUCUUGUCUUUGACCAGGCGUUCGGCAGCGACCCCCUUCACCGGCCCCCCUGCAAGUCGCCGAGGGAGAGGACGAGCUGUGACAAGACAAGCAGCAACAUAGCGACGCUUCCAUCAGCCGGGUAUCUGCGGCUCCACCAUUCAUUCCACCGACAACACAACGAUGCAACCGGCAGCAGCGGAUACCGCAAAAACAACACGUCGCACCUUUUCUGGGCAGUGAUGGUCCAAAGUCUGGCUUGUUCCUUUUAUUAAAGAGAACUGAUAAAGAUUCAGGCUGAAAUCAUAAAGGAAUCCAAAGGAGUCCAAAGGGCUUUUACUGUCAUUAACAAUCACAGGACUGUGGGGAGGCAGUGAGACGAUGAACAACCAAAGUUGGGAAUAAGUCUGCAGGGUCGUGCUGGUGUACACGGUGAUCUCUGGUCGUCGCGGACAUGGUGGGCUGAAGGGGCCGUUUCCAUGCUGUAUCUCGAAAGUACAAUCUAAAGUCUCUCCAUUGGGCACGUGGUGUAUGGAAGUAACUGAAUUAUUUUAUUUUCAUAUUAAUGAUAUUUGGAAACUCUCCAGGAAUAUUCUUUAUGCCCUAUAACAUCACAGUGUCAAACAAUGUAAAAUGCCCCCAUUCGCUGUGGAAAGUAUUCCCCGGACACUGUGGGAGCAACGUUCAUGAUUGCAACAACCACUUCAGUCCACGUACAGAUCUUGUGUAUGAGAGAUAUUACAUAAUCUUGUGUUAGAAAGUUCCCCUACUAGUCCUACUGUUCCCGCCUACAUUCUAUCUGUGUCCCAUCCCCUCCCUCGACAUCAGUCUGAAGAAAGGUCUCGACCAUAAACGUCACCUAUUCCAUCUCUCCAUAGAUGCUACCUGUCCCGCUGAGUUACUCCAGCAUUUUGUGUCUAUCUUCCACUGUCCGAGAUCUCUCCUCA